GAUGCAUUCGACAACACAGAGCCCGCUUCGUUUGCGUGAUAUAUAUAUAUGUAUAUAUAUAUAUCAUACGCUCUCUGUCUUUGUUCUAGGGGUUUCACAACUACACGUUCCUCCACCCCUAGCCCCUCCACCCCCCCCCUCGGGAUCUUUCCUUCGUCGUCGCACACCACGCCUUCCCACACCUCAACAUCAGCGACUGCGACGGUAGCGAAGUGCGAAGAACGUACAAAAUCGAAUUCACGAUACCGUGAUACGAACAAGAAAAGGGAACAACAACAACGAACGUACGAAAAGUCAGAGCCACGCACGGCGCACAUCUACCACCACCUUGUCCGGCAAACGAAAAAAAAAAAGAACAAGGGACGGGCGACCCUACCUCAUCUCUGUCUCUUGUACGCUUGCUCCCUUCUCUGGUGCAUAGCCGUCUCGUGUUCUUCGCUCACCUAAUCCCUCUCUCUCUCGUUGUUGUUUUUUGCCACACGUACGGUCUUACUUAUCAUCGGCGCUCUGGAGCACCACGAGAAAAGUGCGCACCCACAAGGCGAUCAAAAACAGGACUGGCCGUUGCCGCACCAUCACGUGCCGCAGCACAAGGACCACCGCACACCGCCACCUGUCAAAACAACAACGGCCCCCACGACAAGAGAACGUCACCAAAGAAGCGGAAAGAAAAGCGUGUAAAAAAGGAAACGCUAAGCAAACACGGAAGUUAGGUGAGGCCAUCGCGCGCUCUGGACGUUUCUGUUUUGUGUGUGUGUAUGUGUGUGGCAUCAGUCCGACCUACAUGGAACCAACGUGAGGCAAAACGGACGUGCAAGCAUCUCUUCGCCUCCCCUCCUUUCCCCCUCUUUCCGUCCUUCCUCCUUCCACAGGCCCUACACUCCUCCACACGCACACAAAAUACUUUAUAGAGGCACGUUGACGGACGCAUCUCAUCUCGUGCCUCCAUCGACUCUCUCUCUCUGUUUCCAUUCUCCGUACACUUUUUUUUUCUGCCAAACCCCCCUCCCCCUUUUCCCUCCCCUCACCCCUCGCCUCUCGCUCCGCUUCCCUCCCUGUCCCUCGCGACCCUUUACAGGUAUCGGAUCGAUCCCGCAGCAUCCACACAUACCCCUCGCACACACACACGUACACAUAUACACGUUUUUUUUUCCUUCUCUUUGCCGCACCUUUUUUUUUUAAUCUCAACCUUUCAGUGAACGGAUACAAGAGAGGGAGAAGCAGAGCAAGAGACACACAGGGUUUCCAUACCGAAAAAAGCGAAAGACAGACAUUGCCGGUUAAGGAGCGCACUCGUGACUGUAUGAGAGCAAGUGCGUGCGUGAGUGAGUGUGUGUGUGUGUAUAUGCACCUUUGUGUAUCUCAAACUUCUUUUAGAUAAUAUAUAUAUAUAUCGAUCCCGUCUUACCGUGCCGAUCUCCCCAUCCUAUUUUUUUUCGCUCUACGCACCUUUGAUCACCUGCAGCCCUGCCUCACUGUCUACGCGCGUUUCCUUUUCCCCCGUUGCCGUUGUUGUUCGUGUGCGUGUCAGGUACUGUCUACUCGAAGUAGCCGCCGUCUGUCGCUUUUUAGUUGCUUUACUUUCCUGCAUUGGUGCCGUGCCCCCCCCCCCUCUCUCUCUCGUUCUCUUUCCUUUUCGAGUUGGUUUGGCUGUCCUUUUCUGCUUCCGUUUUGCUUCUCUCUUCUUUGGUUCGUUUCUGUUUUCUCAGACACAGACGCAUACCCUUUCUCUCUCGCUUUCCUUCCGGCCUUUGUCUCUGUCCCUCUCACGUACUCCUUGACACUCGCGGACUUUGUCACGUUUUUCUUUGCUGCUCUCCUCUUUUUUUUUCUAUUUUUUUCUUUUUUUUUGAUUGCUCUAGUGGGUUACUUCUUCUUUUGUGUGUUCUCGCGCUCUCGUCUCGGACUCGUUCUCUUGUCGUUGUUCUCUCUACCCCUUUUCUCCCUCUUGCCACCCGUUUUUAUAUACUGUGGUUCUUUUUCUCUCUCUCCUCGUAUCCUCCUCUUCCUCUUGUGCGUGCGCGCGUGUGCCUUCACGUCUUGUCCAUCUUUCUGUUUAUUGUUCGCUUUUAGUGUAGCUCGUCGCCUCUCUCUCUCCUCUUUCCUGUGCGCGUGUGCAUUCUCUUUCCUUAGGGUCGCCCUCUUCUCUCGUCUCCCUAACUCUGGUUCUGACAUUGCCAAGUGUCUUUCUGUUUUCUUCGCUCUGCACCACAGGCGUGCGUGUGCGUGUAUCUUUUUACCCUCGGGGUACCUCUUUUCUGGUGUGACGAUCGCCGUACAUUUUUUUUUGCUGCUGCUGCCGCCGCUGCUGCUCUCGCCCUCUCUCUCUCACACACACACGAACACAUAAAGCAAAUUUGUUCUUGUUGUUUACUCAAACUUAGCGUCUUUUUUCUCGUUUUGUUGUUGCUGCAUAGACUCGUGCUUGCGUUCUCUUGCUAGCUCUCCGUAUUUCGUUGACUCCUCUGUCUCCCUGUGUUGUCGACGCGUCGUUUGUGAGUCUCUUGCAGCUGCCGCUGCUUCUACCGCCGCCCCCUCCCCCUCUCAUCCCGCUGCGUCGCUUCCACUUGCUGCUGCUGUUGUUGUUUUCGUUUUCUCCCCUUUCUUGAUCCUCCCUCACACGUUUCCCUCCUGUUUCUAUCGCCCGACCUACUCGACAUACGACGACGGAGUGGUCGGCCGCAGCUGUUGGACUCUAUGUGUGUGUGUGUAUGCUCUUUUUUUGUUUCGGCACCCUCUCCUCUUAGUAUCCCUCAUCUUCUUUGCGCCCCAUCUCUCCUGCACCCUUCUUUCGCUGUUGUACGCAUCCUUCGUUUCUUUUUCGCUUGCUCGUUUCUGUUCUCCUCGCCAUUCCCAGCACCUCUUUCUUAUUGUUGUUUGCAACGUUGUCGGCUUCGUCAUCCAUCCAUCACAGCCGCCAUCACGGCCUCCUCUCCUUCGCCUUUCUGAAGUCCUUUUUCUGCUCUGUGAUCGUUGCUUCCUUUUGUGACGGUUGUCUGCGACGGUCUCUCUCUCUGUGCUGGCACGCAAGGGACCUCUUCGGUCACCACAAUCACCACCGAUACUCGUCCCUGUCCUCCCCUUCACCUGUGAGACAGGCGGGGUAGGAAAAAAGGAUCGCAAGGCAGGAUUAUCUUCGCUUUGGGCGGUGGAUAUCGGUUGCUGCCUGCCUGUGCUAGCAUCUUGCGUUUUCUUUGGCCUGUCUCUUGAUCACCACCACACACGUCGACCCCUCCGUUCCCUCCCCCCCCCUUCCCUCUCCCUUCUUACUUCCUUGUAUCUUUUUGUUUUUGUGUGUGUUCCCGUUUUCAGCAGAGGAUCAUCGACUCCGUUUCUUUUUUCCUAUCGCUGAUAGAUUGUGUGUGUGUGUGCUUCUGUGCGUGAUUUGUGCGUGCUACGCCUCUGGUUCCGUUCCGUCCCCACCCCACCACCUUCCUCCUUUCCCCUCUCUUCCCUUGCAAGCUCACGCACACACCAGACGCGCUACUCAGACAGACGUUCGCUAUUUACGUGUUGUUUUUCUUUGCGCCUCCCCCUUUUUUUCAGCUGCCUCGCCUCUUCGUCUCUCCCCCGCAGCCGGCAGUGGAAAGGGCCAAGUGAGCGACUGUAAAGGUGGGGGAUUCCGGAAGCCUGGCAGACAAGGCCCACACGAGCAGGCAGACGACGUCCUGCGGAGACCAAGUGUCAUCAGGGUAAAAGGUGUGUUCGGUUAUUGUCGCUCUCUUUCUUUUUUUUUUGGCUUCCUGCCUUUUCUGUGCUUUUACCGGCGCGGUCUUCUCUAUCCCUCCACAUCCUUUUUUUCCGCCACUUUGGAGGACGAGCACAACACAACAAGAGAUUGCGCUGCUGCGUGCUGCGGUGCGUCCUGAGGUGCCGAGCCAGACAACAAGCAAGUGGGCGAAAAGAAGACUGAAUCCCACGCCGCGUCUCUGCAAGAAGAGGCACGCACAGAAGAGAAACAAAACAUGGAAGGCAAAGGACGAAACCGAGAAAUCGAACGGAGCGCUUGUAAGUAGGGACAACUCUUUCUUCCCUUGAUUUCUGCACCAGCGCAGCAUUAACUCUCAUUCCCAGAUACGCUUUUUGGUUAUUGCUGUUUUUCUCUUUUCGUGUGGCCCUAUCCUUUACCGAGAGCUCGGCACAGACCCGCGCGCGCGAGCGCAUCCGCAUCUCUGUACGAGAUUUUAUCACCUUGGUAGCAGCACAUAAAGAAAGCAGUUCCAGCAGACAGUACGUAUCGCCUUAGCGUCGUACCGCCCUCCCUCCCCUCCCCCCCCCACGCACACGCACCACCACCAGCGCCAGGUAAUUGAAAGGGAUUCUCAGACUCGCGGCCCGCACAGGUAAGAAGAGGAAGACGAAAUCAAGCCGAUCAAAACAGUAAAGAGCGUCCAAGCGAACGAUUGAAAAGCAGCCGCAGUCUCAAAAAUACAGAAAAGAAAAAGUAGAGGCUCCGCGACGUGGACGUGUAACCUUUCCCUUGUGCGCGUACUUCUACGUGACUGUGUACGCAGAUCAUCCUUGUAAGUCUCCCCUCGCCCUCCCCACUUAUUUCCCAUUUUUGUUUCGUUGUUGUGAGCCUUGUUGUAUUUACUCUUGAUGGACCCCCCACGUCACCACCCCUCCCUCCCCCCUCCCUUCCUUCCCCUCAAAACAUAACCCCUUCUGGCUCUUGGGCAGUGCUUUCUUUAUGCUUAGGUGAGUGGCUGCCCGUUUACUGUUCUCUACUUCGUUCUUCGCUCCUUUUAUCAUUGGUUCGGCAUUCCUGCCCCUUCUUUGCUGGCGGACCGAGCGUGCGUUGCCUUGGCCGGCCCCGCAGUCUUGUUGUUGUUUGUCUCCUGCAAGUGCUGAUCUUCCCUCCCCUUUCCUCCUGACUUCCUUCCUCUUCACUUCGCCUUUUCCGUUGAACGGGGACACUCGUUUUGUUGCUGUUGGUCGUGCUUUGCGGCAAGUGGCGGUGGGCAGGAACGACAGCUAGCACGAGGCUUGGCGAAAGGAUCGGGGCAAUCCACGACAUUUAGGGCAGAGGAUACCUCCCCCCUCCCCCCGCCCCCUCGCCCCUCCCUCCCUCCAUCCUCACACACACACGCACAGUGUGAAGAAAAAAAAGACGAAAACACAAGCGGGGAAUACCGUCAACGGGGCGCCGCCACGCUUGCCCUUAUAUAUAUAUCGAUCUGUAUACGUAUAUCCGCCUUGUCAUCAUUUCGGUCUUUCGUUUUUGUAGUUGCCGCCGUCGUUGUUAAUUCCUUCGUGUGCACGAAUUCGCCGGCGCUUGUGCACACCUCCCGUCUCCCCGUGUCUGCUUGUGCGCCUCGUUGUAUGGGUAGCUUGAACGUUGGGUGCCGCCACUGCCGUCACUCACACCAUCCCUACUACUGGCACUGCCUACCCAUCCAGAACCUUUCCUUCUCCCCCCCCCAAUAGUGCGUGCGUCCUUGUGUGUAUUGCGUGUGUGUCCUCGCCUCCCUUUUUGGGGGGUUGAGAAGUGUACCUCCACAGCUUUCUCCGUCCGUGCCUCUGCGCAUCUGUAUCGACAGAUUAACACGCCUCUGCGUCUCUCUGUUGGGUGUCUCUGUUAGAGCUCCCUUCUGCGUGCGUUGUUGUUUUCCAAGUCCACGCUCCGCCUUUGUUGUUGUGGCUCGUCUCUCUCGCCCUUGUUUUCGCUUCCCCCCCUCCCUCCCUCGCUCUCUCUGUGCGCGGGGGGGGCCGUCCUUCCUUUUUUGCCCCUCUCCGCGCCUUCGCGCGUUAUCUGUUGUGUGGUGGAGUGAGUGGUUGCGUAAGGGAGCACGUAUCCGUCGCUGAUUACGCCUGUGUCUGUCUGUGUGUGUGUGUGUGUGUGUUCUUCUCUGUUGAAUUUGUGGUUUCUGUUCUCGUGAGCCUCCCCCGCAACCGCCACCGUCACCACCACUAUCCACUCGCCCCCCACUCAGUCAUGUACCCUCGGGCUCGGGCUAAGGGCGGCACGCAAGGAGCCGGACACGGAGAUGGCGACGCAGUGCCCGCUGCCGCUCAGCCUACGGCAGCACCACUAGCCUGUGACGCUGCCUCAUCGUCCGCCACAGCGGUCGGUCAUCGUGAGCCUGUGCACUCCUUGCCGAGCAGCGCUGCCAGCCACCACGCCUCCGCGGGUAACGGAAACCGAAAGAGUGUGCAUGCCUCUCAGCAGCAGCCGUCGCCACUCCCCAUGCCACACAUGCAGUCCGGCAUUUAUGGUGAGGCGAUGCAGGAUGCGGGUGCCUCGUCGCUCACACCGCUGCCGCCGCCACACUUCUACGUUGGCAACGUGCAUCACCACGGCAGCAGCUUGGGUGGCAGUGCGCACCGCUCUACGACGUCGUCCUCAUACGAUCAACAAAAGCAGCCGUUGCCGCGGCCGUCGCCACUUCGCAUGAACGGCCAUCAGGGAGACUGGCUAGCGGGCGCGAGCAGUAGUCCGACGAUGAGUGGCGCUGUACAAUGUGGCUCUCCUGCCGGCAUGGCCACCGCCAGUGCGACGGCGCAGGUGUCCUCCUCGCCGCACAGCCGCGCAGACAGCAGUGCUGUGGUGACACCAAUCAUCGGCGUCGCUGCGACCAGCAGCAGCAUGACCGCUCCCCCGAUGAGUGGCGCGGCCCCUGGCGGAGCAGAUUACCGGCCACCGGCGGUCUAUGGGGAGGUGAACCUCGGCAGCAGUAUUGGUGCCGGUGCGUCGAUCACAAACAGCAGCAGUCUCACGUCUCUUAAUCGCGCCAGCGCCUCCUUGAGUGGCAGCCUCGUCAACACAGUCAACGCAACACGCAGGUCGUCGUGCGUGGCUGCCUCGAUGGCAGGGGUCUCAGUCGGAAUCAGUACGGCCGUCGGCGUAGCCGCUCCGCUGCCGCCUUCCAACAUGGGCGCCGGCGUGCCCAUCGUACAGGUGGGCAUGACGGAAUCGAGCUGCCCGGCUGCGGCGCCUGUGCGUGCCGGCGUUCCCGGGGUGACGAGCCUGAAGAUCACGGUGGGCGGGAGCACGUCAGUGAUCGCCGCGUCCGCACCUCUGUCGCCGCUGAUGAACUCCCCAUUACCCGCUCAACAGCAGCCGCACUCCCAGGCACGGCAGCCGCGCUCCGCCGAGCGAUCAACACGCCCGCUCCACGCGAGCUCGGAUGCCCGUAAGGGCGGCGGCGCCAGUGGCAAGGGCGACACCCCAGUCCCGGUGGGCGGGGUGGACAAUAUUGACGUUGAGUCCGAUGAGGAUCGGAGCUGCUCGUCUGGCAUGGGACCGACGAAGCCAACCGUCGCGCAGGCGGAAGCGCGGUAUCGGUAUCUCUACGAUGAGUUCCGCAAAGUAAGCGGGUUGCGCGCGAAGCUCGUCGAGGAGAGCGAGCGCAUGAAGCGCGAACAGACAGGGCUGCGAGAGGCGCUCGACUUCUACCGCCGCAAGAUCGCCUCAGCCGCUGAGGAGCGGGAAGCGCUCUUGGCUGACUACCGAGAGGACGUGCACAAUGCGUUGCGCCUCGCUCAGGAGCUGGCGGCGGACGUUGCCGCUGCGCACAACAGCGGUGAUGGUGCGUCACGUCCGGCUUUAGCGACCAACGGCGGCGAACAUGGUAUCCCCGUGGCGUCUGCGCAGCAGGCGCUCGACGCAGCCAUUUCCCGCGUUUUGGCCAGCAAGGCCCCCAUCGCGGCGGCAGCUGCCCCCAGCGUCCCUCCCACAGGAAUUCCGGUGCCGUUGGCCCCGCUACAGGGGACGGCGGGCUUCUCUGGAUCGCCGCUGCUGUCCAUCGGGGAGCAACUCGGCCUGCGGUACGGGAGGUGGAUGGCGAUGCGAGCUGCGGCGCCCUGCUUACCCAUGAUGGACGAUGAGGCCAGCUACCCGGACCCUAGUGAGCGACAUCGUAGCAGCACAGGACCGCGGUAUGAGCAGGGUAUCCUGUUGCGCGACGAGAUACGCGAUGUGUACUGCAAUACCCACGCAGCGAUAAGCACGUACAUGACUAGCCUUGACUACGGCUUCGCACCCAUGUCCAGCCAGGACAGCUACCCGCCUGCGGGCUGGCAGGGGCAGCGCCAUCAGCAGCAGCAGUUCAGUAGCGAGUAUCGCGGUCUCCACUUUCACGUGGACAUCCCACGCUUCCACGCCCACACGGUGUCCGGCUUGUCGGAUCCGGGAAACGCCGUCGGAGAUUGCACUGGAGGACAGAGCACGCCGGUGCACACUGCAUCCUCGCAACCACCACCAUUACCAGAGCCGCCGUCGUCUUGCCUCGCACCACAGAACCCCCGGAUGGCACCCGCUCUCACGUAAGCGAAGUACUGCCGCAGCCCCCUUUCCCCUCUUGAGGGGCCCAUCGGAGAAAGCGCGCGGCUGACCCGGCAUUAGUGAGAGCACUGGGUGAACCGUAUCGGCGGCGAAGGGGUUUCACUGUACGCGUAGGCGAAACGUCUGGUUGCGUCUGUCUCUCCAUGCUAAUCUGGGCGAUGUUGGGCGCAGGGUCGGUCGAUGGUGGGGGCGCGCACGCCGAUUGGUACCCGCCUCUUUCUCCGGAGAGAGCAAGAGGGCAACGACCGACACACAACACUGCACCAGCUACCAAUGCUGCUGCUGGCGCUCUGCUCCGUUCUCCCUUCCACAUUCUUGCCGCUCCUUGUGCGUGUGUUGUGAUCACCCACACGUGGAGAUGGCUCACGGUGCCAUCGACCCCGUCCCCUGUCCCAUGGCUCUGGCACGUAUGAUGUGUCUCUCUCCAUCCCUCUUUUUGUUCUGUAUCUGUGUCGCCCUGUCGAUGAACAUGAGACACCGGCGAGAACGAGAGAGAAUGAGAAGGCGGUGCGGAUGCAACUGGCAGACAGGAUCACGCUAUUCGAGCAUGCGCAUCCUUUUCCGGCCCCUGUCCCCCUCCUUUCCUUAUGCCCCACUGCUCUGUAUCGCUAUCUGUGCAUGUAUAUACUUUUCGCUUCUUGCUCCGCUCUGCCGUGGAUGCAUGUGUGUGCGUGUGUCUUUAGGCUCACCUGUUGUGGUGUAUGUAUAUAGUGUAUGUACGGUAUGUAUGUGUGACCCUGUGCUCUUCUCCCUCGCUCUUUUUCUUUCGCCGCCCUCUUCUUUGUUGUUCGCUUGUUUUGUUUUUGCUUCUUCUUCCUCUUCCGCACCAUCCCUCACCUCUUGUGUAGUUAUUUGUUCCGUCUGCGCCGCUGUUGCGCCCUCACUCUCUUCCUCCCUCCCUCCCUCCCUCUCAAGGCCUCCCCUUACCUCUUCUUCGUUGUGAUUGUAAGUUUUACGUGCUACCCUCUUCUUUUUGUUUUCGCACGCUCUGUCUUAGGGAUAGUGCGGUCGGCUGCGUUGGUUUUGGGUUCGUUGGUUUCACGCGCGGUGUGUAUUGUGUGCGUGUGCGGACGUUUGAGUCUGUCUCUCUUUUCCUUUGUUUUUGUUAUCUUUCUUGUGGACCUCAUCAGCGGACGUGGCAGCCACCUUCUCUAUUUUGCCGCUUAUUUUUGGUUUCAAUGUCUCCUCGCGGAUGCGGGCUCGUGUGUGUCUUCACUCUACCCCCUCCCCCACCCACCCUCUCUCUCCGUGUGUCGCCGCCGCUGCCAUCACCACCGAACGAACCAGCAUUUCGAGACCUAGCUUCGUCUCUGUUUUACAUCAAUCGAUACCACAAAAAAGGGAAGCUCUUCUCCCCUCUUUUCCCCACCCAACCAUCGCAACGGCAAGGGACAGGAAUACGCAGACACGCGCCCCCCCCCCCACACACACACGAAAAAAAACUUCGCUUACUCAGCUUCUAUCUGUUCAUCUCUCUCUCUAUGUGCGCCCUCUUGCUCGUUGAUUGACGGAUUCUCCUCUGCUUUUCCGUUUUUUUUUCUCGUUUUGGUUGUGGAGGGGACAACAGCAGCUUGUCUUCUUGUCGGCUACUCGUGUAUGGCGAAGGCCCUCGACGCGAGGGCACGCUGUGGUGUCCAUGUUCUUCUCAAGCCGCCUCGAUGUGAGCCAUCGUGGACAAGAAUACAGGGAGAAACAGCGAUGUAGUCGUUCUCCGCCUUUUCUUUGAAAACAUAUGUCCGCUACGCUCUCGAAGUCCAUUACUCUCUGCGACCCUGAUGUACAGCGCCUUAACGAACGAAGGAGUGGAGCAGCAGGCCUUUCCAAUCCGCCCCUCCCCUACCCCUCCCAAACUCGAAGCGAACACGAAAAUGCCCAUUCCGAGAUAAGACGAAGCGUGAAAUGUUCAUGGUGCCCUCGCCGGCUUCUGGAUGGCUGCCAUCGGCUCUCUUCCUUGUCGCCGUCGUUUAACUGCCUGCUUUGUGUGCAUGUGUGUGUUCGCCUUCCCGGCCAUUGUGCUUGCUUCAUGCGCCUCAUUCUGCCACACACACACACACACACACACAGACGCAUAUACAGGCUCUCUUCCCUCUUGCGCCGACUCAGCGCCUCAGUGCUGACGUCUCCCCUGUCUUAUCCCUUUUUGUUGUUGUCCGUUGUUAUGUCGGCCUCCUUCUCUUCUGCCGUCUUCGUGUUUUGUGCAUCCCUUCCACCUUGUGUCUUGGUGGUGGGUAUCGGUGUGUGCCUGUCGGUGCUGUGUGUUUCUUGCUUGCCGCUAGCCAGCAUCUUUAUUGAUGUAUUUCUUUUCGUUGCUCUCAUGAUCUGCGUUCUCAGAGGCAGCAGCGGCAGCAAAGAUUUUUUUUUUUUGAAAAAGCAGCUCGUUCUCAUGGUCAUGUGUACCUGCCGCAUCUCACGUUUUCACUCGGUGUAUCUGUACAAGCGAAUCGCAGAAAUCUCCAGCCGAUAUACACACACACAUAUCUAUACGCUAUGGUUAUAUCUGGAUAUAGGUAUUCACAUAUGUAUGUAGUGUAUGUAUAUGGAAAAUGCGGUUACUUCUCUAUGUUGGUUUUUUGUAUGCGUGUGUACGUCUGCUGUUGGGCGGGCGGGGUGGUGUUGAGAGAGAGGCAGCGUCGACAAGGACGUAUGCAACCUUGUUUGGCAUUGUUGGUUUUAAGUUUUGCGCUUCUCUCUUUUUUCUGGUUGACUUUUUCUUUGUCUUCAGGUUUGCGUCGCAUUUUUCCGUCUUCUGUCGUGUCUGUCGGUCUGUGUCUACGUGUUUCUGCGUGUAUUCGCCCGUGCUCCCUUCGUUCCUGAGCGCGCCGUCUUCAUCCUUCGCCGCUGGUGAUGCAUCAUCACAUGCACGUCUUUACGUUGAUGAUCAUCGCUCCCUGCAGAUGUCCCUCGCCCUUGUUUCUUUUGGGUUUUGUCUCUCUUAUUUACCUAUUAUUACUUUUUUUUCGCUGUUGCGGAUUGUGUUUCAGCUGCCAUAGGCAGUCAGUGACGCACCCACACACGUGCUGGCAAGUACGCGGAUGCUGUGCGUGCGGACGCAUGCAAGUGUGGCGAGAGUUUGGGAAGGCGAUUUGCGACAACGAAAAAAAAAUAUGUAUAGAUGCGGGCACCAAGCGCGCGGAUGCAUGCGACAAGUGGGGUGCAUGUUGUGCCCUUUGUUUUUUGUGCUGCUUGAUCCUUAUUUUCUCCCCUCGCUCCUCGCUUCAUGGCGUCUGUGUGGAUCGGCUCCUCACCCCUCUCUAUUUCUCACAGAGGCCCUCCACUUCGGCAGCGGUGCCGUUUACAUUGGUGCGCAUUUGCACGCGCCUACGUCUCUUUAUUGUUGUGUCGGUGAGUAUCCCCUACACACCCCUUCCGCG
rnacentral:misc_RNA from 1 species